CGGUUGAUCCUGCCGGACCUGACUGCUAUCGGAUUGAUACUAAGCCAUGCGAGUCAUUGUAGCAAUACAAGGCAUACGGCUCAGUAACGCGUAGUCAACCUAACCUAUGGACGGGAAUAACCUCGGGAAACUGAGAAUAAUGCCCGAUAGAACAUUAUACCUGGAAUGGUUUAUGUUCCAAAUGAUUUAUCGCCGUAGGAUGGGACUGCGGCCUAUCAGUUUGUUGGUGAGGUAAUGGCCCACCAAGACUAUUACAGGUACGGGCUCUGAGAGGAGUAGCCCGGAGAUGGGUACUGAGACACGGACCCAGGCCCUAUGGGGCGCAGCAGGCGAGAAAACUUUGCAAUGUGCGAAAGCACGACAAGGUUAAUCCGAGUGAUUUGUGCUAAACGAAUCUUUUGUUAGUCCUAGAAACACUAACGAAUAAGGGGUGGGCAAGUUCUGGUGUCAGCCGCCGCGGUAAAACCAGCACCUCAAGUGGUCAGGAUGAUUAUUGGGCCUAAAGCAUCCGUAGCCGGCUCUGUAAGUUUUCGGUUAAAUCUGUACGCUCAACGUACAGGCUGCCGGGAAUACUGCAAAGCUAGGGAGUGGGAGAAGUAGACGGUACUCGGUAGGAAGUGGUAAAAUGCUUUGAUCUAUCGAUGACCACCUGUGGCGAAGGCGGUCUACUAGAACACGUCCGACGGUGAGGGAUGAAAGCUGGGGGAGCAAACCGGAUUAGAUACCCGGGUAGUCCCAGCUGUAAACUAUGCAAACUCAGUGAUGCAUUGGCUUGUGGCCAAUGCAGUGCUGCAGGGAAGCCGUUAAGUUUGCCGCCUGGGAAGUACGUACGCAAGUAUGAACUUAAGGAAUUGGCGGGGGAGCACCACAAGGGGUGAAGCCUGCGGUUCAAUUGGAGUCAACGCCGGG
rnacentral:rRNA from 1 species